rnacentral:lncRNA from 1 species
GUAGGAGGACUGGGCCCUGCAGAGCUAUUGGGAGACCCUGCUCGUGCCCAUGGCGCUAAACACAAAGAACGCCCUGGCGUGAAAGUCACAGGCUGCUCGGAAAUGUUUGAACACCCUGAACCUGCACUCAGGCAAUCAAAGCUCUGCCACAUCCUCAGAAGGAGCCCAGGUCAGGUCCGGCUGCCGUCACGCAUCAUGAGGACAUGUGGAGCCAGACAGGUACCAGGAGGAAAUGUGGGUGAGUGCUGCCCUGCCCCAUCCUCUCUGUUUCCCUCCCACUUGUUUGCAGAGGUGACCUCAGCAUAGAACCAGGACCCCUUGACAGAAACAUUGCCAUUCUGGGCACUCCACACCCAAGCCAGUUCAUCCAAAUCACCCAUUAAAACUGUGCUCUGAAGAAACUACCUGUUGCACCAAACUCCUUGUCUUACCGGACACACAUCGAUGGCCAGCGCAGAAUGAGGCUGGGGGAGGAUCUUAAUGACACAGUCCACUCUGCAAACCAGGGUCAACAAAGCUGCAGGUAUGGCCACGGCCUCUCACCGUGGACUCUGUAUGGGCCAAUACACAAUGUGCUAUUCCCCGGUUAUUUCUGAAUACAGCCACAGGGAGAUGUGGCCCAGCCCCACUUCCCCAGGGCACACAGUGAGAGGCUAGACAGGAGCCACAGGACCUCUUCAAUCUGCCAGUGAUCCCAAACUCUGGACCCAGGCAGAUCAGUAAGGGAGAGAGAAAAAUAUUCCCCCCCCUUUUUUUUUUGAGACGGAGUUUUGCUCUUGUUACCCAGGCUGGAGUGCAAUGGCGCGAUCUCGGCUCACCGCAGCCUCCGCCUCCUGGGUUCAGGCAAUUCUCCUGCCUCAGCCUCCUGAGUAGCUGGGAUUACAGGCACGUACCACCAUGCCCAGCUAAUUUUUUGUAUUUUUAGUAGAGACGGGGUUUCACCAUGUUGACCAGGAUGGUCUCGAUCUCUUGACCUCGUGAUCCACCCGCCUGGGCCUCCCAAAGUGCUGGGAUUACAGGCUUGAGCCACCGCGCCCGGCCAGAAUAUUCCCUUUUCUAGGAAAGUCCUCUGGCCUCACCCAGCUUGAUGAUGUGUCUGCUAGCCCAACACCCCAGUCAGUGAGGGUAUCUUUUCCAGUGGUGGGGAGCACUGUGGUGGGAGCAGCUGCAGAGGAUGGCGGAGUCUUUCCUGCAGGAUUCUGGAAUAUUGUGUCCUCUCUGGAAGAGAGACAAGGAGUGAGGGUGAGACUGGGAAGGGCAUGGGAGGGAAAACCUUCCUUACUGCCUAAGGAAUGGGGUGCAUCCCUCAGGGGCCAGUGACCAACCUUAUUAGCCACCUCUGUGCAUUCAACGGCUUCCUCUCUCCUGAGGCAGCCAGAGCCUGAAUAUCUCAGCAAAGCAUCAAGAAAGGCUUUAAUAAUCGAUUUAAUUAAAGUCUAAAAAUCAUAGACCCAGCUCCUAUGCGUCGAGUGAUUUCAGAGCUCUUUCUCUUUGCUGUCUUCGAAGGGUAAUCUGGAUGCUGGAGGGUCGCUCUCUGGCUUGACAAACUCAGUUUGUUUCCAUAGUUACAAAACACUUGUGUUCUCCCGGACCCACAAUCCAUCAGGAGGGGUACGCUGGCUGCCUGGUAACCAUGCCACCAUUUCCUGAAUUCGCAGGAAAUUCAAACAUUAGAAAGGUGGGUGGCCAUGCCUGUUUUGUGCACGCCCUGAUAAUCUCAUGUUGAUUUAAGUAUUUUGUAGGAAGCAAAGUAAAAGACCAUUUGCACUAUAACUUGCAGAUAUUCAUGUGUAAUCCCCAAUAAAUGGGAAUUUCAUGGGAAAAGGUGGAAACUCGAAAGGGCUUGAGCAGUUGCUGCAGUGCCCAGAGGAGUGUGCUCUCGCCCCGGCUGACUCUGAGUCCAGCUCUCUCCUUGGAGAAAGGGAGCUACUGGGGGACCCGGGUGCCAUGUAGCCAAGGGCCGGGCAGCAGAUCUGAGAGAUGUUCAUGUAAAUCUUGUUCUUACUAGACAUGGAUAGUUUAUUCUCCCUUAACUGUAUUAAUAGUUCCCUUAUCUGUGAAAGAAGUAACUCAUGGCUUUGUUGGGAGGAUUAAAUGAGAUUAGCGAAGGGUUUAGUACAGUAUAUAUCUUGCACUCAGUAAGUAAUGGUUGCUAUUUUGCCCUCUUGUUUCAAAACACCAUCCAUUCCCAUGAUACAAAAUAGUGCAAAGCGUAGGAUGUGUUUGAUGGAGACAAAGAACCCUUGAAUGAAUUUAGAUGGUGGUGAUGCUGAUACUGAUGACGGAUGGAUGAAGAAGUCUAGCCAGGCGCCGUGGCUCAUGCCUGUAAUCCCGACACUUUGGGAGGCAGAGGUGGGCAGAUCACCUGAGGU